rnacentral:rRNA from 1 species
GACGAACGCUGGCGGCGUGCUUAACACAUGCAAGUCGAACGGAAAGGCCCUGCUUUUGUGCUGUGCUCGAGUGGCGAAAGGGUGAGUAACACGUGAGUAACCUGCCCUUGACUUUGGGAUAACUUCAUGAAACUGGGGCUAAUAUCCUAUAGGAGCUCCUGCUCCAUGGUGGGGGUUGGAAAGUUUCGGCGGUUGGGUAUGGACUCGCGGCUUAUCAGCUUGUUUGUGGGGUAGUGGCUUACCAAGGCUUUGACCGGUAGCCGGCCUGAGAGGGUGGCCGGGCACAUUGGGACUGAGGUACGGCCCAGACUCCUACGGGAGGCAGCAGUGGGGAAUAUUGCACAAUGGGCGGAAGCCUGAUGCAGCAACGCCGCGUGCGGGAUGACGGCCUUCGGGUUGUAAACCGCUUUCGCCUGUGACGAAGCGUGAGUGACGGUAAUGGGUAAAGAAGCACCGGCUAACUACGUG